AUUGCCCUUACGGCUCAGUAACACGUAGUCAACAUGCCCAGGGGACGUGGAUAACCUCGGGAAACUGAGGAUAAACCGCGAUAGGUCAUCACUUCUGGAAUGGGUAAUGACUUAAAUCUAUAUGGCCCCUGGAUUGGACUGCGGCCGAUCAGGCUGUUGGUGAGGUAAUGGCCCACCAAACCUGUAACCGGUACGGGCUCUGAGAGGAGGAGCCCGGAGAUGGGCACUGAGACAAGGGCCCAGGCCCUAUGGGGCGCAGCAGGCGCGAAACUUCUGCAAUAGGCGAAAGCUUGACAGGGUUAUUCUGAGUGAUUUCCGUUAAGGAGAUCUUUUGGCACCUCUAAAAAUGGUGUAGAAUAAGGGGUGGGCAAGUCUGGUGUCAGCCGCCGCGGUAAUACCAGCACCCCGAGUGGUCGGGACGUUUAUUGGGCCUAAAGCAUCCGUAGCCGGUUCUACAAGUCUUCCGUUAAAUCCACCUGCUUAACAGAUGGGCUGCGGAAGAUACUAUAGAGCUAGGAGGCGGGAGAGGCAAGCGGUACUCGAUGGGUAGGGGUAAAAUCCGUUGAUCCAUUGAAGACCACCAGUGGCGAAGGCGGCUUGCCAGAACGCGCUCGACGGUGAGGGAUGAAAGCUGGGGGAGCAAACCGGAUUAGAUACCCGGGUAGUCCCAGCUGUAAACGAUGCAGACUCGGUGAUGGGUUGGCUUCGAGCCAACCCAGUGCCGCAGGGAAGCCGUUAAGUCUGCCGCCUGGGGAGUACGGUCGCAAGACUGAAACUUAAAGGAAUUGGCGGGGGAGCAC
rnacentral:rRNA from 1 species